rnacentral:rRNA from 1 species
AUGACGACUGGUAUGGUUAAUACUGGCCGUGGAGCUCCUCGCCCUGCACCGCCGGUGGUGCCGGCUCGUAACGCGUCGGCGGCGGGGAUGGCUGCUCUGAGGGCCGAGACGCCGGGGGCCACGGUGGCUGCCGGUGUCGCUGCUGAUCCGGUGGCGGCAACUACCGGGGGUCAGCGUGCACCCCCGCCACACCUUGCGGUUCGUCGGGCGCAGAAUCGUUCGGGGCAGAAUCAGGUUCAGAGUAAUCAGAGUAAUACCAGUGGGAGACCGACUGAUGCACCUCGAGGCAAGUGGGGUGAUGACGGGUUUGAUGCGUAUGGAGUAGGCCAGCAUCGGGGCUCAUCUUCAGCGGGAGGAGGUCGGGGUUAUGCUUGGCAGAGUGACGGGUCUGCAGAGAGACCGUUCCUGGGGCCGGCUGGAGGCUUCGUUGAGGGGGCCUCAGGACCUGAUAACAGGCACAGAGGAGGUUAUCGCGGAUACCGUGGUCGUGGUGGAGGCCGCGGAAGGUUCCGCCGGCCGCCUCCCCCUAGACAUGUUGACUCUGACGGGGCGGCGAUGGAGACUGAUCAGACACCACAGGAGCUACCUCCCCAGGCGAUGGACGUGGUGAAUGCACUUGCGGUUGCUGAGGUUCCUGGGAUUGCGAAGGAGGCUGAGGUGGUUCAAGUGGCUGAUUCUGAGAGGGCAUCCAAGUACGCUCGGAAGAAAGAGAGAAUGCUUUGUUACCGGUGCGGAGAGAAGGGGCACUUCAUCGCGGAGUGUGUGGCCCAGCUGUGCGAAUCCUGUGGUAAGCCUGCGCAUGCCUCAGGGGAUUGUCCUUUGCUGAGGGACCAUAUUCCAGCUCUUACUGUAUAUGGUGUGUACUGUGCGGAGCUGAUGUUCUUCGAGUCAGCGGCUGCGAGGGAGAUCCCAGCUGAUACACAGAGCCUUACUUCUGGUUUGGUCAAGGUGACACAGGGAGAUGUCUCCCAGGCUCAGAUUGUGCAGAGACUUCAGGAGUUGGCUCCGGGUGAUUUUCAGUGGGACCUCGUACCCGUUGAGGAUAGAGUAUUCAGAGUGGAGUUUCCUUCGAUUGAGGACUUGCAGCGUUUGUUGAGCUUUGGGAUGUGUAAGGUGCCAGGCACCAAAGGUAUUUUGGAGUUCCACGAGUGGAAGAAAGUUGAGCCUAAGGGGAAGCCUCUUACUCAGGUGUGGCUGCGUUUCUCGGGGGCACCGUCUGAGGCUCUUUCUGAUGUGCGUGUGGUGGCUAGUUUGGGGAUUAUGGUUGGUAAGACGGAGAAAGUGGAUAUGGCGUUCACUAGAGCUCAGGGGGUGGCUCGACUGCGAGUUAGCAUUCUGGAUAUUGAGUAUGUCCCGGACGUCAUCAACUGGACCUAUAGAGGCGAGGUGUUUCCACUUGAUAUUGAGUUUGAGGAUGCAGAGUUGUUUGCUGAGGUUGCUGCUGGCACUGACGUGGAUAUGCACGAUGGGGGUGAUGAUACAGGUGCUCCCAGGGAGCAGGCGGAUGAGGCAGCACAGGAGCCCAAUGGAUCGGGGCCUGCUGCUCAGGAGCCAGAGAACGGAGCCGGGAUGGAGCAGUCCCCGGCUUCGUCUUUGCCUCAUAACUCACUGCGGUUUGGAUCUUUUCUGCCGUCGUCGGCGCCUCCUCGUCUGUGGAGUGAUCGGGUUGACUCUGACGAUGCGUUCGAGCAUUCGCUACCGGUCUUGGACUUUGGGCGGUCACCCCGGCAGUCGGCCAGCUUCAGUGCCCGUGUUGUUCAAGAGGUGGAGCCUCAGGAGUCGCCAGGGCGAUCUAGGUCUUCGGUUUCCUCGCGGAGGGGAGGGGCGUCUGGGCAGGUGGCCACGACUCCCUCUCAUUCGUCUGUUUCACAGCAGGCGGCGCAGGUACCUGUGUCCAGCCGGGGCGACAUAUCUUUGGGGCAGGAGGCCCUGGAGGUCCGUCUCGCGGGAGCCUCGUUGGUGGUGGGGUCGCCGGAGGUGCUAGGCAGGCGUCAGGGGCAGGUGGCCCCUGACCCUCUAGUACCGACGGCGGUCCUGCAGGUGGAGCGCACGGCUGCCACGGCGUCGGCUGGGGGGGUCGGACUAGGGUAG